CACACUCAACACACCAGCAACUUAACACCACUUAGCUCCUGUCCACCAGCAAUUCCAAGAAGCCAUCCCACCAACCUGCCAGCUGUCCUGCUGUAAUUAGAGGAGGGUUCUACUCCUGGUUCAAAUUGGGAAAGUCUUGUAGGAUUGGGGCAGGUGUAGUCCUCAUAAGCCCAGCCUGGGUGAACAAGGCAUGUGCUUGUCAGCAUGCUGGGGGCUGAAGGAAAGAAGCCACCAACACACUCAGAUGGCCUCCAUCUACCAGAAACUUCUGAUGAUGAGAGAGUAAGACCUGAGAGAAUAUAAGGAAGAGAAGACUUCAUGGGGAUGGAGGCUUUGAAGAACCUAACAGGGUUCCUGUAAGUCAGGAGACAGAAGAUCUUGUGUUUUAGUCAAAGCAUAUGUUGGCAGCCAUCUGCGCAGUAGCACCAACUAUGAAUUUCAAGGGGAAGAAAAACAGCCACAUUUGGAAGAUAACUCAUCUACAGACUCUAAAUAUUUCAGAGCAGAUUGUGUCUCUGUAGAUUCUGAGUAAGUUGUGAAACGCGGAAGCUCUGUCAGUAAGUAGUUUGGAGAUUUGACCUCUAUUUAUCUGGGUUUCUGUGUCUGUCAUUUUACCUUUUUAAGUCUUCUUAUUUAUUUAUAAAACUGAGUUAAUAAUCAUCUCAGUCUACAAGUAUUGGUGUUAUGAGCAGAAAGAUGAAAUUUCUCUGAAUUACCCAAAACAGGACAUUCUUUCAUUCGACAAAUAUUUCUUGGGCACAUGUUUUGUUCCUGGUGCUAUGUCAAGUACUGGGCAUAUGGCUGUGGUCAUGCUGGAUAUCGUCUCCGCUCUCACGGAUGAAACAUGCAGUGUUGGCUGCCCACAUUGUUAGGACUACUACUCUCACAUUGACUACAGCCAUUACUACUAUAAUAUUGGUAGAUGUUUAAAAUAAAUUGCUAUUAUUUGUCUGUCAAUAUCCUUGGUGUUGA